AGGCAGACCUUGUCUGCUUGCUUGCUCUUUCCUCCUGGUCUCUCCUGGCCCCUCUGCUAAUGAGUGGGUGCGGCCAAUCAUUCAAUUAGGCCCACCAUGUGCUACUUUAGGAGCUCUACAGCAAAAACCUCGGUAGGUUCCACUGUUUGUCCCUCGGCUGAGCACUGGGGUCUACCGACCAGCAGCCCUGUAGAUGGAUGGCUAUGCUAUCCUCUUCUGCUGUCAGUAGGAAAAUUGGCAUAGAGAAGAAUAUGGGUAUGUAUAGCUCUAAAAUAAAUGGAUGUUUGGGGAAAUGGUAUCAGGUUUGAUGUGUCUUGUUUGUCUUCCAGGUAGCACGGCGUUUCCAUCCACUUUGCCCUCAGCGUAGGUCGUGCUGCGGUCUUUCCUUGUCUUGUCUUAGUUUUGUUUGGUUUCUGUUUAGCUUUGCUUGCACUUGGCAACUGACUCCAUUGUACUUGUACCCUUUUGUUUUACUUUACUUGUCUUAGUUAUCAAGUGUCCGCCUAUCCAUAGAGUCUGGGAGCGACAACUUUCAAUUGUUUGUUAAUUUGGCAGGCAGGGUUCUCGCUGGCAGGAGGCUAGUCACUUAGUGGUGGUGCAGUAAAGAUGCACAUUUUGGUGUGAAUUAUCAGAAUGUUUGCUGUGGUCUGCGGUGUUACGAUUUGAGCUUUUUUGCUAUGCAUGUGUGUGGGCUCUAGGGCACAUUAUCAGUAGUCUGCCUCCCCCAGGUAAGCCCCUGCCUUGCUCAUUCUGCUCCAUUGUGCCUCCCCUAUGGAAUCUGUUAGUAAAAGAGCAACAAGACAACAUAAUAAAUAUUUUUUUACUUUCCUAA